rnacentral:rRNA from 1 species
AUUGAACGCUGGCGGCAUGCCUUACACAUGCAAGUCGAACGGCAGCACGGGAGCAAUCCUGGUGGCGAGUGGCGAACGGGUGAGUAAUAUAUCGGAACGUGCCCAGUCGUGGGGAUAACGUAGCGAAAGCUACGCUAAUACCGCAUACGAUCUAUGGAUGAAAGCGGGGGAUCGCAAGACCUCGCGCGAUUGGAGCGGCCGAUAUCAGAUUAGGUAGUUGGUGAGGUAAAGGCUCACCAAGCCGACGAUCUGUAGCUGGUCUGAGAGGACGACCAGCCACACUGGGACUGAGACACGGCCCAGACUCCUACGGGAGGCAGCAGUGGGGAAUUUUGGACAAUGGGCGCAAGCCUGAUCCAGCAAUGCCGCGUGCAGGG